rnacentral:rRNA from 1 species
AUGGACGACGAUGAUGUUUGUGACGAAGACGACGGCGAUGGCGAAUAUACGGGCUACCACAGCUCGAUUCGGUGCUCGGGACGGACGAAGUCGAUAGCGGCGGUUCUCCUGGACGUCUUCUCACGAGGCGGGUUGGACGGUGGUUGUGGCUACGAGGACGGCCAUGGAGACCACGAGCUUGGGCGCGUCCAAAUCAACGAUGUUGAGCGAGAGAGCAAGAGGAAUGAAGCUAGGGUUUUUCUACGGGGUUGGAGAUGGUCUUAUCCUCCUCCAGGUGUCCCUGUAGCGCCAGACGUCAUGCAUCCGACGCCCAUGGCGCCAUGGAUUGUUGCGACGGCAUGCCUAUGCCUCCUCUCUGUACAUAGGAAGGAGAUGGCUGGUUGGUGGGCUGGGCUGUGCACUGUAGCAGUGAGGUACAAGUACAGUGCAACAUUUCUAUUUGUUUUUUGUAGUUUAUUUUACCUGUUGUCUUUUAUUUAG